AGAGUUUGAUCCUGGCUCAGGAUGAACGCUAGCUACAGGCUUAACACAUGCAAGUCGAGGGGCAUCAGGAAGAAAGCUUGCUUUCUUUGCUGGCGACCGGCGCACGGGUGAGUAACACGUAUCCAACCUGCCCUUUACUCGGGGAUAGCCUUUCGAAAGAAAGAUUAAUACCCGAUAGCAUAAUGAUUCCGCAUGGUUUCAUUAUUAAAGGAUUCCGGUAAAGGAUGGGGAUGCGUUCCAUUAGGUUGUUGGUGAGGUAACGGCUCACCAAGCCUUCGAUGGAUAGGGGUUCUGAGAGGAAGGUCCCCCACAUUGGAACUGAGACACGGUCCAAACUCCUACGGGAGGCAGCAGUGAGGAAUAUUGGUCAAUGGGCGGUAGCCUGAACCAGCCAAGUAGCGUGAAGGAUGAAGGCUCUAUGGGUCGUAAACUUCUUUUAUAUAAGAAUAAAGUGCAGUAUGUAUACUGUUUUGUAUGUAUUAUAUGAAUAAGGAUCGGCUAACUCCGUGCCAGCAGCCGCGGUAAUACGGAGGAUCCGAGCGUUAUCCGGAUUUAUUGGGUUUAAAGGGAGCGUAGGUGGACUGGUAAGUCAGUUGUGAAAGUUUGCGGCUCAACCGUAAAAUUGCAGUUGAUACUGUCAGUCUUGAGUACAGUAGAGGUGGGCGGAAUUCGUGGUGUAGCGGUGAAAUGCUUAGAUAUCACGAAGAACUCCGAUUGCGAAGGCAGCUCACUGGACUGCAACUGACACUGAUGCUCGAAAGUGUGGGUAUCAAACAGGAUUAGAUACCCUGGUAGUCCACACAGUAAACGAUGAAUACUCGCUGUUUGCGAUAUACAGUAAGCGGCCAAGCGAAAGCAUUAAGUAUUCCACCUGGGGAGUACGCCGGCAACGGUGAAACUCAAAGGAAUUGACGGGGGCCCGCACAAGCGGAGGAACAUGUGGUUUAAUUCGAUGAUACGCGAGGAACCUUACCCGGGCUUAAAUUGCAGUGGAAUGAUGUGGAAACAUGUCAGUGAGCAAUCACCGCUGUGAAGGUGCUGCAUGGUUGUCGUCAGCUCGUGCCGUGAGGUGUCGGCUUAAGUGCCAUAACGAGCGCAACCCUUAUCUUUAGUUACUAACAGGUUAUGCUGAGGACUCUAGAGAGACUGCCGUCGUAAGAUGUGAGGAAGGUGGGGAUGACGUCAAAUCAGCACGGCCCUUACGUCCGGGGCUACACACGUGUUACAAUGGGGGGUACAGAAGGCAGCUAGCGGGUGACCGUAUGCUAAUCCCAAAAUCCUCUCUCAGUUCGGAUCGAAGUCUGCAACCCGACUUCGUGAAGCUGGAUUCGCUAGUAAUCGCGCAUCAGCCACGGCGCGGUGAAUACGUUCCCGGGCCUUGUACACACCGCCCGUCAAGCCAUGGGAGCCGGGGGUACCUGAAGUACGUAACCGCAAGGAUCGUCCUAGGGUAAAACUGGUGACUGGGGCUAAGUCGUAACAAGGUAGCCGUACCGGAAGGUGCGGCUG
rnacentral:rRNA from 2 species